CUAAUACCGCAUGAUGACUGAGGUCCAAAGGCGCAAGUCGCCUUGGGAGGAGCCUGCGUUCGAUUAGCUUGUUGGUGGGGUAACUGCCUACCAAGGCGACGAUCGAUAGCUGGUCUGAGAGGAUGAUCAGCCACACUGGGACUGAGACACGGCCCAGACUCCUACGGGAGGCAGCAGUGGGGAAUAUUGGACAAUGGGCGAAAGCCUGAUCCAGCAAUGCCGCGUGAGUGAAGAAGGUCUUCGGAUUGUAAAGCUCUUUCGACGGGGACGAUGAUGACGGUACCCGUAGAAGAAGCCCCGGCUAACUUCGUGCCAGCAGCCGCGGUAAUACGAAGGGGGCUAGCGUUGCUCGGAAUGACUGGGCGUAAAGGGCGCGUAGGCGGAUAAUACAGUCAGAUGUGAAAUUCCUGGGCUCAACCUGGGGGCUGCAUUUGAUACGUGUUGUCUAGAGUGAGGAAGAGGGUUGUGGAAUUCCCAGUGUAGAGGUGAAAUUCGUAGAUAUUGGGAAGAACACCGGUG
rnacentral:rRNA from 1 species